rnacentral:rRNA from 1 species
CAGUCGCCACGGUAAAACGUAGGGUGCGAGCGUUAAUCGGAAUUACUGGGCGUAAAGCGUGCGCAGGCGGCUUGGUAAGUUAGAGGUGAAAGCCCAGGGCUCAACCCUGGAAUUGCCUUUAAGACUGCCGAGCUAGUAGGUGAGAGAGGUAAGUGGAAUUCCGAGUGUAGAGGUGAAAUCCGUAGAUAUUCGGAAGAACACCAGUGGCGAAGGCGGCUUACUGGCUCAUUCUAGACGCUGAGGUGCGAAAGCGUGGGGAGCAAACAGGAUUAGAUACCCGUGUAGUCCCUGUCUCUUAUAA